GCUUUUCAAUAGCGAAUUCGUCCAGUGUGUUCUUGAAAUGGUAUUUAAAAUGGCCUCAGUUUGCUAGGACGCUUGAACCCCACCUAAACCUUACAGGUUCAUGCAAAUUAUGAUGACAAUCAGGCCUUUGUAAAUACGCAAUAAAUCGGAGGAGUGUAUACUUGUUCAUUUGGUAUCCAGAGUAGAGGAUUACGCUACUGCAUUUCUAAUAUUGGAAAAGGGAAUUCAAUAGGCCUUCAUCAUGAAGUUUUGGAUGACAGUUCUUUCACUUUUGGUGACAAUCGUUCCAGGUUUCGUCUCGGCUGAACCACUAGAAAACAUCAAUAAGGACGCCCUUGCCCUCAUCAUCAUACCUCUAUGUUUGAUCUUCUUCAUGUUAUAUGUCUACACCAGUCAGGAUGACGACGACGAUGAAAACGAGGAUGAUGACAUUGAAAACCCAGAGGAACUUGACUACGUCGAGAACACGCGUUUCUAAAAACAAACAACUCUUUUAAACUGUAAAUAUACAAUACAUGCAAUAAAACUUUGUCAAAUCAUGUGGUAGGGUCCAUGGUCAAAUAAAACGUGAAGGAACGGGCCCAGCGACCGUGUGCCUUAAAGCGCAAGUUGUACUUCCAGGACAUUGGCAAGCUACUCCUUCUAAAAUUGUUAGAAUGUUUUUUUUUCUGCACCUUGGUAAAUUUAAAAAAUAAGUAGCGAAAAAAAGACAAGCGGUACUGCUUUGAUUAUAAUGUUAUCAAUGAUAACGGCAAUAGAAUAUUAGCGUACUUAAAGGGAUGAUGGGCCUUUCCGCCUACACUCUUAAAGGAAUGGUCAAAUUAAGUAAAAACAAGCAGUAGAUGGCAGGUUCGAAUCCCACUGGUUCCAAUUUUUUCUGACUUAUGAUCUUAUGAUUUUCAUUACAGAUCGAGCAUACUGAUCUUAUGAUUUUCAGUACAGAUCGAGCAUACUGAUUUUAAACAAAUAGGAGUAAUGCCGAAAAUUGUUAACAAAUUAAAAACAUUCUGUUGGCAAACUGUGUCCGCCCGAUAACAAUGCUCGUUAUCAGCCAGAAUUGUGGUAGAUUCUAACCUUAAAAAUUGGUUGAUUUUAACAUUUUUCUCUGUUGGUCAGACACAAUGGACGUACAGAUUGGAUACUUUGACCAGUAUUUUUGAGUGAAGUCUCCAUGCACGCAAGGGGUAGGGGGCAGUUGCUCCAUCUUCCGAUAUUUUGAAAACCUACAUUUUUUACUGAAAAUUUUCACAUAAUUCAACAAAAGUGUGCAUACAAUCAUUCAGAUGGGUAGAAAAAAUAUAUUCAUGCCUUGGUACGGGCCAUUUUACCAAUCUAAAGGGGAUUGAUGUUCUGAUAAAAGCUUUAAUCUCCACUGGCGAUAUGAUCAUAGAGCUUUGAUUUUGCAGCGGGUUCACUUAAAUGGAUUUUGAUAUUGAUUCAAUCUUCUGAAACAGGAAUGUAUAUUGCUUAUCUGCGUUUCCAACCUAUAACAUUCACGCCUUGUUGUAAUCCGCAUACAUUCGAAGCUUCGCAAUUUACGUGUUUCGGAAUUACGAACCUUCGGAAUUACGAAGUGUAACCGUUGUAAUCUUCAACAAAAUUCAAGUUCGAUUACAUGUACGCUGUACAUUGGUUUCAAGUGUAUCAUAACAUUUAACUACGGCGUUUCCAGUUUAUAGUAUUUACACGAGAAAGCUUCACCCAUGUCCUAUAAAACAUAUUUUAAUGUUGACAUCUGGCUGUACAUGUGUUUGUUUCCGGGUUGGUUUUACCAAAAUACACACAUCGCUCCCAUCCAAAGAUGACAAUAAAACAAUAAAAUAUAUUCCGUAAAGAACCCGAAAUGCUCAAAAUAUACACGCUGUAUAAGCUACAUGUAUAUAUGUCAUAAUUUUCUCAUGUUUCAUAGAUUUGUAUAUGGUGUACGGAAUUACAUUUUAUUGUUACGAAGUAAUAUACUUUUUCUUUCCGAUUAGCUAGAUGAAGUGGAUCAGAAUUGCCAUUGUAUACGUAAUCAAGAAAACUCAAAUACUUUGCUUAUCAACCUUUAUGUGUCAUGUUAGUAGUUAUAAUAUGAGUUGUUUUGGCUGAACCAAGAGCCAUGUGAGUGUGCCUGUUUGUGAGAGUGUGUUUGUGUGUGUGGGGGUAAUAUAGAGCCCAAUUUCACAAUACCCCCAUCGAUAAACAUAUCGAUUGAAUCUAAAAAUCGCUGUAGAGAAGAUUUAACCUUUGGAUGAACAUAAUUGAGCUUUUAUAUAUAGUCAGGAAUGACUCCAAAAUGAAUCCCAACAGUAAUAGAGGGGCAAAUGUUUCAGUGAAUACCAAUCUAAUCAAAUGGCAAUAAAAAAUUAAGUUAUGUUAAUUCUUGAUAUUCAUGACGGUGCAUAUUGAUGUGUAAUUUGCUGAGAAUAUUGUAGAUUGUAUGAUAAGUUUUUUUUAAAGGCAUGUACUUGUAUAUACGAAGUGGAUAUAUUCUUAUGUAUUAAAGUCUCUUUUGUGGAUCA